rnacentral:snRNA from 1 species
GUACUCCCUUUGGCAGCACACAUACAAUGACUGGAAUGAUACAGAGACAAUAGCAUGGCCCCUGCCCAAGG